AAACCGACUCUCGGCAACGGAUAUCUAGGCUCUCGCAUCGAUGAAGAACGUAGCGAAAUGCGAUACUUGGUGUGAAUUGCAGAAUCCCGCGAAUCAUCGAGUUUUUGAACGCAAGUUGCGCCCGAAGCCAUUCGGCCGAGGGCACGUCUGCCUGGGUGUCACGC
rnacentral:rRNA from 1 species